AGGCUUGAACAGCGAGUGACCAUUCCUAGAAAAGGAACUUCCGCAAGGACACUCGUAGAGGUGCUGCAUGGCUGUCGUCAGCUCGUGUCGUGAGAUGUUGGGUUAAGUCCCGNAACGAGCGCAACCCUUGUUUGCUGUUGCCAUCAGGUAAAGCUGGGCACUCUGCAAAGACUGCCGGUGAUAAACCGGAGGAAGGUGGGGAUGACGUCAAGUCAGCAUGGCCUUUAUGUCUGGGGCUACACACGUGCUACAAUGGCCGGUACAAACCGUCGCAAAACCGUAAGGUCGAGCUAAUCGGAGAAAGCCGGUCUCAGUUCGGAUCGUAGGCUGCAACUCGCCUGCGUGAAGUUGGAAUCGCUAGUAAUCGCGGAUCAGCACGCCGCGGUGAAUACCGUUCCCGGGCCUUGUACACACCGCCCGUCACAUCACGAAAGCCGGUUGUACUAGAAGUCGCCAUACCAACCCGCAAGGGAGGGAGGCGCCUAAGGUAUGGUCGGUGAUUGGGGUGAAGUCGUAACAAGGUAAGCGUAGUGCU
rnacentral:rRNA from 1 species